AUGACAGGAAAGGGGUGAGAAGUUGGUGGGGAGAGACUUUAAAUUCAAAAACGAGAAGAAAAGUAACUCAGGGUGGUGGGGUAUGGUUGAACCCCUGUGUGGUCAAGCUGCUGGCAAAGGACACUGUGUAGUUUUCUCCUGACAGGAGACUAAAAUCUAGGACCUCCUCUUUCUAGGAAAAGCAUGUUACCAUUUCAAAAUGGCAGGUACACCAAUCUCUUCAUUCUCAAAUGAUGACUGAAAAGUUAGGAAAAAAAAAAAGAAAAGGGAGUUGCCUUCAGACAGGGGAUCUGAAGCUUGGUCAAGGUGAAAGGAAAUAGAGAGAACUGGGUUAAAUAGAGGAAGCCAGGGAUAAAAUUCCAAGGACACCAGCUGGGAGACACACAGUCAGGGUUGAUGGGUAGGUCCCAGGAGAAACCCAUACUACUCAGAGACAGGAAUAAAAUGUGGGCAGGACUUAAGACAUUGACUGAAAGCCAACAGAGGAAGCAUCCACUCUCACUCCAGCACACAUGCCUGGGAGUCACGCAUUUACCUCACACAUGAAGAAAUGGAUGGAGCUGCCACGAAAGCCAGGCUCUCCAACUGCCACCCCCAUCGGACUUGUCUGGAGCAUUCAUUGAAGCAUGGGAAACUGGGUCCCAGCUACAGAGCUUCUGGUUCCUGAGUGCUCAGAUUUAUCUCUGUUGCUGUAAUAAAACACCCCAGGGUUACGGCCCCUCACAGCAGGGGAGUCACAGGAGCAGAAGGUUGAGACAGAUGAUCACCUCACUCCCACCAUAGAGGAGAGAAAUGCAUGCACACACACACACACACACACACACACACCUCAGCUAGCUUUCUCUGACACAGUGCAGGGCCCAAACCCAGGGGAAAGUGAUGCCCAUUUUGAAGCUGAAUUGCCUUACAUCGGCAAUAAAAACAUACCACAGACCCAGCCUCACCUGUACAGCAGGGACAAUCUACCACAGACCCAGCCUCACCUGUACAGCAGGGACAAUCUACCACAGACCCAGCCUCACCUCUACAGCAGGGACAAUCUACCACAGACCCAGCCUCACUUUGAUAACAGAGACAAUCUACCUCAGACCCAGCCUCACCUUGAGAACAGAGACAAUCUACCUCAGACCCAGCCUCACCUCGACAGCAGAGACAAUCUACCACAGACCCAGCCUCACCUUGACAGCAGAGACAAUCUACCUCAGACCCAGCCUCACCUCGACAGCAAAGACAAUCUACCACAGACCCAGCCUCACCUUGAGAACAGAGACAAUCUACCACGGACCCAGCCUCACCUCGACAGUAGAGACAAUCUACCACAGACCCAGCCUCACCUUGACAGCAGACAAUCUACCACAGACCCAGCCUCACCUCUACAGCAGGGACAAUCUAACACAGACCCAGCCUUACCUCGACAGCAAAAACAAUCUACCACAGACCCAGCCUCACCUUGAGAACACAGGCAAUCUACCACAGACCCAGCCUCACCUCGACAGCAGAGACAAUCUACCUCAGACAUGCCCAGAGAUCAGCCUAAUCUAGACAAUCCCUCACUCAGCCCUCUUCCCAGAUGAUCCUAGGGUAUGUCAAGUUGGAAACUAGAACCAACCAUCACACUCUAUAGGGUAUGAGACAGGAAAAUUUGCUUCCUAAGCUUCUAAAAAGUCUACUGCUGGAAACUGACCCAUGUUGCUUUAGGUCAUCUGUAGAGAGAAUCUGUUGUAUUGUAUAGAAGCACCACCUGUCAAUAAAAUGUUGUUGGCCUAUUCACUUAGGCAGGAAACAGGUGGGAAUUUCUGGGAACAGAGUUUUAGACAUGGGUGAGAUUCAGUGCCCCAGACACAGAAGAAGGCAGUCGCAUGAAACUGAGGACCAGGUAACCAGCCACAUGGCAUGACUCAGAAUAUUCAGGAAAUUAAGUUAUGAGCUAGUCAACAGUGGAAAGACCCAAGUCAUCUCUUCAAACCUCGCUCUCCACACUUGUAAAUGGGAAUAAUGAUAGCUCCCACAGAACAGAAUCAUAAGGAAGAUCAAAGGAGAUGCAUAUAAAACCUUCGGCACACAGCUUUCUGACAACAGGCGCCUGUAGACUUGAGCAACCGUCAAAAGUGUUGUGGAAGAGCACUCUCCUGCCGUGAACAGAAAGAGCAGCAAAACCAAUAGGUGUUCAACAACUAUGUCCAGUAAAUCUUCACGGAAUGGAUAAACCAUUCCACCCACUGCCUGGACCCCAAUCUACCCACCCAUUUUGACAAGUCUGGGAACUAUUCAGAGAAAGAACCCUUCUUGGCUCAUUAACCUUUCAGCGGAGACUGUCCUUCCUUUGUUGAAUCUUGGGGUGCACAGGCCUGUGAAAGUGACCCAGGGAUGGAUCCCUGAGGAGGUAUACAUACAUACCCCCCACCCCCCCAAACCCUACCCCCAUCCCAUCCUGCAAAGGCAAAAAGCUCCGGAC